rnacentral:rRNA from 1 species
UGCAUAUCAAUAAGCGGAGGAAAAGAAACUAACAAGGAUUCCCCUAGUAACGGCGAGUGAAGCGGGAAAAGCUCAAAUUUGUAAUCUGGCGCCUUUGGCGUCCGAGUUGUAAUCUCGAGAAGUAUUUUCCGCGCUGGACCGCACAUAAGUCUGUUGGAAUACAGCGUCAUAGUGGUGAGAACCCCGUAUAGGGUGCGGAUGCCCAGUGCUUUGUGAUAUACUUUCGAAGAGUCGAGUUGUUUGGGAAUGCAGCUCAAAUGGGGUGGUAAAUUCCAUCUAAAGCUAAAUAUUGGCGAGAGACCGAUAGCGAACAAGUACCGUGAGGGAAAGAUGAAAAGCACUUUGGAAAGAGAGUUAACAGUACGUGAAAUUGUUGGAAGGGAAACGCUUGAAGUCAGACUUGCAUUUUGGAGUUCAGCCGCAAGGUGUAUUCUUCAAUUCGCAGGCCAGCAUCAGUUUUCGGGGGUGGAAAAGCGCGGUUGGAAGGUAGCAGUCUCGGCUGUGUUAUAGCUGGCCGCUGGAUUCACUUUUGGGGACUGAGGAACGCAGUACGCUUUUUGCAAGACCCUCGGGUCUUUCGUACUUAGGAUGCUGGUGGAAUGGCUUUAAACGACCCGUCUUGAAACACGGACCA